rnacentral:lncRNA from 1 species
UUGUUCUUAUGUCUUGUGAUAAGCUCGACGCUGUGCCAUUUGAGCUGGCUAAUAUAUCUAACCUUCACGAGAUGCGGUUGGAAAACACAAGCAAAGCGGUCAAAUCUGCAACAGAUAUACUGGAAAGCAAGACAUCUAAAAGCAUCAAAUUCAUCCUUACCAUAUUCCCUCCUGAAGCUGGAUCCAAGCCCACGCAGUGAACUGAAAGGUCAGUCGAAUUUAUUUGUAUUGAUAGUCUUCGCUAAACUCUUGUCUGCACGACUAUAUUCUUUUUCAGCUGGCAUACAUUAUCCAUGAAAUUUCAUAGUUCCCCUUACUUUCUGAAUUACACUCUGCUCAUGAUUCGACCAAGAUUCAGAUUAGAAAAUACCCUUCGUUUUAUUCUAAUAUAAAUUAAUCUCUUUCAUAGUAUACGAGUAUAUGGGUUAUUGUGAAUGAUUAUUAAUAGUUUCUUCAAAACCUCUCUGCAACAGUUUUCUUUUCUUUGUUUCCCUUUUUUUCAUUUACUAAUUUUGCUCCUUUUUACAGGAGAGAAUGGAGACAUUGAGGUUGUUGGAAAUCUGGGAUCAUGGAUAUGGUGCGACUCAUGUUUUCUGAUAAGAUUGUACCAAUAAAGAAAGCCUUUUGUUUAUACAAGCAUUGUCAUUUUUGAAAUAAAUGACAUAUGUUUAAAUAAAUGCACCCCGCUCUCGGCUUGAAACAAACACCCUUCCUGGGAUUCUUGCAGUUCGAGUUACGCAUCAUGUGGAGUAUUUUCUUUCUCAGUUGUAAAACUACUGUUUGCAUGUUUCCAAUUCUGUUUCCGUUGUAUUUGGUUUGUUUCAUUUUUGUAAGACUGUUGCUUUCAUCUAUCAUUGUUCUGUUGAAAGACAAAUGUCAUUCCAUUCCAAGCAAAUAAAGUGUUGUGUGUUUUAUUACAAACUUGGAAUCUUUCAAGUUCAGAUUAUGCAUCCAUAGGUUGCCAAAAUGAGUUUAACUAUGUACUGAAAGUGUCAUAGAUUUUUUACAGUAUUAGAUUACCUAAAAGGUAAUUACAGGUAAUUUUUGCUCAUAAAAAGUAGGAUUAGUAACUUAAGAAAUAAGGCAUAUUACCUGCUUGGCUCAACAGAUGAAUGAAGUGCAAAAACACAUGACCACGUCAAAGAGCAUUCUAUUUGUUUAAGAAGCGAUGUCACCCUGAAUCCCCCCUGCAGAAAGGAGGAAAAUAAGAAAAAGAAGAAAGAGAUUUUUACACUCUGUCACCUGAUCCAAACUUACAAAUAAAAUGAGCCACGUUUUUCAGCCC